rnacentral:rRNA from 1 species
AAUCAACGCUGGCGGCGUGCCUAACACAUGCAAGUCGAACGAGAAAGUGACUUCGGUCACUGGACAGUGGCGUCCGGGUGAGUAACACGUGGGUAAUCUACCUUCGGGUGGGGAAUAACGUCUCGAAAGAGACGCUAAUACCGCAUAAUGCAGCGGCACCUUAUGGUGAAUAGUUGUUAAAGCGGGGGAUCGCAAGACCUCGCGCCUGAAGAGGAGCCUGCGGCAGAUUAGCUAGUUGGUGAGGUAACGGCCCACCAAGGCAACGAUCAGUAUCCGGCCUGAGAGGGCGGACGGACACACUGGGACUGAGACACGGCCCAGACUCCUACGGGAGGCAGCAGUGGGGAAUUGUUCGCAAUGGGCGCAAGCCUGACGACGCAACGCCGCGUGGAGGAUGUAGGUCUUCGGAUUGUAAACUCCUGUUGCCC